GGUCCUAUAGUGUAGUUGGUUAUCACCCAAGGUUUUGAUUCAUACGAAACCUCCUUGUAACUCCGGUUCGAAUCCGGAUAGGACCU
rfam:Candida albicans SC5314 chromosome 2 sequence.